AAGUUACAUGCCCCUAAAUCAUAGAAGAAGACACAGUAUACUAUCUACAUUAAGAACCCCUUCAUAGCGGUGACGAGGUGGCCGAGUGGUUAAGGCGAUGGACUGCUAAUCCAUUGUGCUCUGCACGCGUGGGUUCGAAUCCCAUCCUCGUCGUUUAGUUAUCCCACGAUUGUGUGGGUCCUAGGUUUUAGCGCCGGCGUGGUGAAAAACAGAGUCCAUUUUAAAUGUUCAGCUUUUUCUUUCAAAACUGAUCCUGCUUGCUUCCCUGACUUCUCUCAUCUGCCGUUGUCUCCAUGAGCGGUUUCCCUCCCAUCUGUUUCUGGGCAUGGCGUUUCUUCUACUGGUAGUUUCUGCUCUCCUCUGGCAAAGACAAAGCAAAGCGAAGCAAAGCAAAGCAAAACAAAACCCAAGCAACCAUCACCACCAACAAAAAACUUGCGAGAUUCUGACCAACGAUACGGGCAUUGUGAAAGAGUUGUUUUAGCUUCAUCAGCUGAAGUGCGCGAGUCUUUCCAACAAGUUCCAAUGCAGCUACUGGACUGACUGGUCAGGUUCCCAGGGGUUUUCAGAGGCUUACAAGAACUGGGGUUUGAGUAUAUAUUUAUUGAGUUUUGUGUAGUAUAUGUGCUGUGAAGACAGCUUAUAAACUUUGUUCUGAUUGGUUUUGUAAAUGAAUGCACAGGAGGUGACUGUUCUGAUUGGAGGGCAGUCUGGAGGCAGUUCAAUGUCAGGGACACCUGAACACUUACGUCCUGGCCUUUACCUGCACUUUACGUGGAGAAUGAGGCAUGAUGGGACAUGACUUUUUUCUCUUUAUCUUUUAGACUUUACACAUAUCAAAC
rnacentral:tRNA from 1 species